rnacentral:rRNA from 1 species
AUUGAACGCUGGCGGCAGGCCUAACACAUGCAAGUCGAACGAGUGGCGGACGGGUGAGUAAUGUCUGGGAAACUGCCUGAUGGAGGGGGAUAACUACUGGACACGGUAGCUAAUACCGCAUACCAUCGGAUGUGCCCAGAUGGGAUUAGCUAGUAGGUGGGGUAAUGGCUCACCUAGGCGAUGAUCCCUAGCUGGUCUGAGAGGCUGACCAGCCACACUGGAACUGAGAAACGGUCCAGACUCCUACGGGAGGCAGAAGUGGGGAAUAUUGCACAAGGGGCGCAAGCCGGAUGCAGCCAUGCCGCGUGUGUGAAGAAGGCCUUCGGGUUGUAAAGCACUUUCAGCGGGGAGGCGUUACCCGCAGAAGAAGCACCGGCUAACGCCGUGCCAGCAGCCGCGGUAAUAC